GUGUGACUGAUAAAUUGUUGAUUGAUGUUUGCAUAAUUGCGCACUAAAUGAUAAGUGAUGAUUUGUGGGUGUUAAUUGGUGGGUGCUAAGUGAUGUGUAGUGGUGAGUUGAAUAUUUAGUAAUAUAUCUCUGAUAUUCCAAGUAACUAAUGUUGUAUGAUUGAUUUAAUUAAUUGAUUAAUGAUGUGUAAAUUGAGGUGUUGAUUAAAUGGUAUAAAUGUUGCAUGAAUUAUUAACGUGAUAUAAUCAUGUUUAUACCUUGUUGUAUAUUUCCUAUUUUUUUUUUGCUUAUUGCAUAAACUCACCCUGUUUUGUGUUAUGUGUUACGUGCUGGACUCUUGGGAGCCCAGGUUUUCUAGGUUGUUGAGUCUCGUGUGCUUGAGUUCUUGAUGAAGCUCCGCUCUGAUUGUGACACGAGGAAGAGUUCAUAGAGUCAUUUACUCUGUCAUUUUAUUUUUAAUUUAAAAUGUUUCUUUUUAGAAAAGAAAAAUAUUUUUAUUAGUGAUGCUUAUGCUAAUUUAUUUUCAUUAGCAAUGUAUGAAGAAAAAUGUAAUACUUUAAACCAAUAUUUGCAUAAGUUAUUUUGACUCCAAGCCUAUUUAUUAUUUAUAACCGCUGCGUAAUUUUGAAAAGCAUUCUUGAAUUAGAGUAACUUUUGAAUAUUGGNNNN
rnacentral:lncRNA from 1 species